UACAGAGGUGGCAAGCGUUGUUCGGAAUUACUGGGCGUAAAGGGCGCGUAGGCGGCCCUCUUAGUCGGACGUGAAAUCCCCAGGCUUAACUUGGGAACUGCGUCCGAUACUGGAGGGCUUGAGUGCGGGAGAGGGAUGUGGAAUUCCAGGUGUAGCGGUGAAAUGCGUAGAUAUCUGGAGGAACACCGGUGGCGAAGGCGGCAUCCUGGACCGACACUGACGCUGAUGCGCGAAAGCUAGGGGAGCAAACGGG
rnacentral:rRNA from 1 species